AUUGAACGCUGGCGGCAGGCCUAAUACAUGCAAGUCGAACGAGUGGCGGACGGGUGAGUAAUGUCUGGGAAACUGCCUGAUGGAGGGGGAUAACUACUGGAAACGGUAGCUAAUACCGCAUACCAUCGGAUGUGCCCAGAUGGGAUUAGCUAGUGGGUGGGGUAACGGUCCACCUAGGCGACGAUCCCUAGCUGGUCUGAGAGGAUGACCGGCCACACUGGAACUGAGACACGGUCCAGACUCCUACGGGAGGCAGCAGUGGGGAAUAUUGCACAAUGGGCGCAAGCCUGAUGCAGCCAUGCCGCGUGUAUGAAGAAGGCCUUCGGGUUGUAAAGUACUUUCGGCGGGGAGGCGUUACCCACAGAGAAAGCACCGGCUAACUCCGUGCCAGCAGCCGCGGUAAUAC
rnacentral:rRNA from 1 species